rnacentral:rRNA from 1 species
UACGUAGGGUGCGAGCGUUGUCCGGAAUUAUUGGGCGUAAAGAGCUCGUAGGCGGUUUGUCGCGUCUGCUGUGAAAACUCGGGGCUUAACCCCGGGCCUGCAGUGGGUACGGGCAGACUAGAGUGCGGUAGGGGAGACUGGAAUUCCUGGUGUAGCGGUGAAAUGCGCAGAUAUCAGGAGGAACACCGGUGGCGAAGGCGGGUCUCUGGGCUGUAACUGACGCUGAGGAGCGAAAGCGUGGGGAGCGAACAGG